rnacentral:rRNA from 1 species
GGGGGGGUUUCGGAUUAUUGGGCGUAAGAGCUCGUAGGCGGUUUGUCGCGUCUGCCGUGAAAGUCCGGGGCUCAACUCCGGAUCUGCGGUGGGUACGGGCAGACUAGAGUGAUGUAGGGGAGACUGGAAUUCCUGGUGUAGCGGUGAAAUGCGCAGAUAUCAGGAGGAACACCGAUGGCGAAGGCAGGUCUCUGGGCAUUAACUGACGCUGAGGAGCGAAAGCAUGGGGAGCGAACAGGAUUAGAUACCCUGGUAGUCCAUGCCGUAAACGUUGGGCACUAGGUGUGGGGGACAUUCCACGUUUUCCGCGCCGUAGCUAACGCAUUAAGUGCCCCGCCUGGGGAGUACGGCCGCAAGGCUAAAACUCAAAGGAAUUGACGGGGGCCCGCACAAGCGGCGGAGCAUGCGGAUUAAUUCGAUGCAACGCGAAGAACCUUACCAAGGCUUGACAUGAACCGGUAAGACCUGGAAACAGGUCCCCCACUUGUGGCCGGUUUACAGGUGGUGCAUGGUUGUCGUCAGCUCGUGUCGUGAGAUGUUGGGUUAAGUCCCGCAACGAGCGCAACCCUCGUUCCAUGUUGCCAGCGCGUUAUGGCGGGGACUCAUGGGAGACUGCCGGGGUCAACUCGGAGGAAGGUGGGGACGACGUCAAAUCAUCAUGCCCCUUAUGUCUUGGGCUUCACGCAUGCUACAAUGGCCGGUACAAAGGGUUGCGAUACUGUGAGGUGGAGCUAAUCCCAAAAAGCCGGUCUCAGUUCGGAUUGGGGUCUGCAACUCGACCCCAUGAAGUCGGAGUCGCUAGUAAUCGCAGAUCAGCAACGCUGCGGUGAAUACGUUCCCGGGCCUUGUACACACCGCCCGUCAAGUCACGAAAGUUGGUAACACCCGAAGCCGGUGGCCUAACCCCUUGUGGGAGGGAGCUGUCGAAGGUGGGACUGGCGAUUGGGACUAAGUCGUAACAAGGUU